CACACGUGCUACAAUGGCGUAAACAAAGGGAAGCGAGCCUGCGAGGGGAAGCGAAUCCCAAAAAUAACGUCCCAGUUCGGACUGUGGUCUGCAACCCGACCACACGAAGCUGGAAUCGCUAGUAAUCGCGGAUCAGAAUGCCGCGGUGAAUGCGUUCCCGGGUCUUGUACACACCGCCCGUCACACCAUGGAAGUUGGGGGCGCCCGAAGUUGCCUAAGAAAUAAGGUACCUAAGGCGAAACCAAUGACUGGGGUGAAGUCGUAACAAGGUAGC
rnacentral:rRNA from 1 species